UUACAUAUAUCUAAUAGAAAUUAAAGAAGCAAACACAUUUAAUUCAUAAGUGCAUGGCAGGGCAGCCACCAGAAACUAAAAUACUUUUAUUUUAAGAGGGAGCUUGCUUGUUUAAUUUCCAUCUCACAAGCUGUUUCUAGUUAAUAGAGUAGCCAAGUCUAACAGCAUAAUUUACCAGAUCAUCCAGCUCAGUCAAGUCAACUUGUCCAUCUCCAUUGGCAUCAGCAUACCUAAUUCCUCGGUUGGCUCUGAAGCC
rnacentral:lncRNA from 1 species